GAACAAGUAAGCUUGUCUUUUUUACUUUUAACUUCAAACGAAUGGUUUUAUAUCCUGAUUGGAACAAGCAUAGGAGAGCACCAAUAAUGCUGAUAUCAAGGUCACGAAACUUGCUUCCUUUUGCAAAACUCUAAUGUUACCAACAUGCCAACUCAUAAAGGUUGCACCCGAUAUGAAGUUUUAAUUAAGAACAUGUUUUAAUUAAGAGCAACUGUUGCAGAUUGUCGAUCGAUUAAAGUAGGCUCGCUAGGAUGAGUAUUAUAUUGCAUAAAAAUAAUUCUCUAGGUUGCAGCUCGAGCGAGGUGGCGGAAGACCAGUUCUUGUUUGGGCAUGCGGUGGGGGCACGGUGGCAGCACGAGCGUUUAUAUUAUAAUAUCGGCGUCUGAAUCAUUUUAGUAUGCUGCAUGGGGUAAAAGUUUGCUUGGAAUGGAUCUGGCUGUUGCUUUUUAGGGGAAAAAAAUUAUUAGCAUCGAAAUCUUUUGAGUUUAUUAUUAUAUUCUGUUGGAAGAUAUAAUUAUCCCUGGUCCCGCGAUCAAAC
rnacentral:lncRNA from 1 species